rnacentral:rRNA from 1 species
UACAGAGGGGGCAAGCGUUGUUCGGAAUUACUGGGCGUAAAGGGCGCGUAGGCGGCCUUCUAAGUCGAACGUGAAAUCCCUGGGCUCAACCCAGGAACUGCGUCCGAGACUGGGAGGCUAGAAUCCGGGAGAGGGAUGUGGAAUUCCAGGUGUAGCGGUGAAAUGCGUAGAUAUCUGGAGGAACAUCGGUGGCGAAGGCGGCAUCCUGGACCGAUAUUGACGCUGAGACGCGAAAGCGUGGGGAGCAAACAGG